rnacentral:rRNA from 1 species
CACGUAGGGUGCGAGCGUUGUCCGGAAUUAUUGGGCGUAAAGAGCUCGUAGGCGGCGUGUCGCGUCGGCCGUGAAAACCUGCAGCUUAACUGUGGGCUUGCGGUCGAUACGGGCAUCACUGGAGUUCGGCAGGGGAGACUGGAAUUCCUGGUGUAGCGGUGAAAUGCGCAGAUAUCAGGAGGAACACCGGUGGCGAAGGCGGGUCUCUGGGCCGAUACUGACGCUGAGGAGCGAAAGCGUGGGGAGCGAACAGG